GUGAAGUUUUAUUCUUGCUUUUUCAUUCAGUUUGCGUUUGUUCUAUAUGUAAGUUUUUGUGUGAAUUUCUUUUAUGUUCUAGAUGGACUAGGGAUUAAAAAGGUUGUUUUGUAAUUCUCAUUAGUUAUUAUUGGUUGAUUUAGUUUUCUUUUAUUCAGCAAUUCGUUUUAGUUUCGGUUAAAUUUUGUGCCAGCAGCCGCGGUUAUACCUUGGAGGCAUUUGAAUGUGUUUGGCUUUAAAUUGUAGUUAUAUGAUUUAGUUUUGGUUGAUUUUAUUUUUGUGGUUGUUAGGUGAAAUUUUUAUUGUUUUUGUUUUCUUUUGAUUGUUUGGAGGCUGCGAAAUUCUUUUUUUAGACUAGGAUUAGAUACCCUAUUAUUUUAGAAUGUUAAUUUUUAUGCCUGAGUAGUAUUAGUAUAUGUUCUUGAAACUUAAAGAAUUUGGCGGUAUCUUAUACCAUCCAGAGGAAUCUGUCUCGUUAUCGAUAGUCCGCGUUGGACCUUUCUUAGUUGCUAUGGUUUGUAUACCGCCGUUUAUUGAUUAUCUUUUUAGGGUUAUUUAAUUUUCUUGUUUCUUUAUUUUGAUUUAUUUCAGGUCAAGGUGCAGCUUGUUUCUAAGUGGUAUGAUGGAUUACAUUGUUAUUUGUUUUAUUGGAUUGUUGAUUUUUAUAUUGGCGUGAAAUUGGAUUUGGUUGUAAUUUUUUGUAGAUUGUUUUUAUGAUAAUUGGUUCUGAGAUAUGUACACAUCGCCCGUCGCUCUCGUUUAUUUGUUAAUGAGAUAAGUCGUAACAAAGUGGUUGUACCGGAAGGUGUAGCUGGAUUGAU
rnacentral:ncRNA from 1 species